GAUGAACGCUGGCGGCGUGCCUAAUACAUGCAAGUCGAGCGAACGGACGAGAACUUUGCUCCUCUGGUGUUAGCGGCGGGGGGGUGAGUAACAUCUGGAUAACCUCCCUAUAAGACUGGGGUACCUUCAGGGCACCAUAGCUAAUGCCGGAUAAUUUUUUGAAACGGCUGGUUCCCAAGUGGAAGACGGUCUUGGUGUCGCUUAUAGAUUGAUCCGCGGUGCAUUAGCUAGUUGGUCAGGUAAAGGCCUACCAAGGCAACGAUGAAUAGCCGACCUGAGAGGGCGAUCGGCCACACUGGGACUGAGACACGGCCCAGACUCCUACGGGAGGCAGCAGUAGGGAAUCUUCCGCAAUGGGCGAAAGCCUGACGGAGCAACGCCGCGUGAGUGAUGAAGGUCUUCGGAUCGUAAAGCUCUGUUAUUAGGGAAGAACAUAUGUGCAAGUAACCGGGCAGAUCAUGACGGUACCGGAAGAGAAAGCCCCGGCUAACUACGUG
rnacentral:rRNA from 1 species